rnacentral:tRNA from 1 species
ACUAUUUUAGUUUAUAAAAAACAUUAGAUUGUGAUUCUAAAGAAAAGUAGUUCUUAAAUAGUA